rnacentral:rRNA from 1 species
AUUGAACGCUGGCGGCAGGCCUAACACAUGCAAGUCGAGCGGAUGAAGGGAGCUUGCUCCUGGAUUCAGCGGCGGACGGGUGAGUAAUGCCUAGGAAUCUGCCUGGUAGUGGGGGAUAACGUCCGGAAACGGGCGCUAAUACCGCAUACGUCCUGAGGGAGAAAGUGGGGGAUCUUCGGACCUCACGCUAUCAGAUGAGCCUAGGUCGGAUUAGCUAGUUGGUGGGGUAAAGGCCUACCAAGGCGACGAUCCGUAACUGGUCUGAGAGGAUGAUCAGUCACACUUGAACUGAGACACGGUCCAGACUCCUACGGGAGGCAGCAGCGGGGAAUAUUGGACAAUGGGCGAAAGCCUUAUCCAGCCAAGCCGCGUGUGUGAAGAAGGGCUUCGGAUUGUAAAGCACUUUAAGGUGGGAGGAAGGGCAGUAAGUUUAUACCUUGCUGGUUUGACGGUACCAACAGAAUAAGCACCGGCUAACUUCGUG